rnacentral:rRNA from 1 species
AGCAGCCGCGGUAAUUCCAGCUCCAAUAGCGUAUAUUAAAGUUGUUGCAGUUAAAAAGCUCGUAGUUGAAUUUCGAGACCGGUCUACUGGUCGUGCUUUUGUACGUACUGGUUUUAUUGGUUUCUCCUUUCUGACGAACUAUAAUGCCAUUAAUUUGGUGUUAUGGGGAAUCAGGACUGUUACUUUGAAAAAUUAGAGUGUUUAAAGCAGGCUCACGCUUGAAUACAUUAGCAUGGAAUAACGGAAUAGGACGUUUGAUUCUAUUUUGUUGGUUUCUAGGAUCGACGUAAUG